GACGAACGCUGGCGGCGUGCCUAAUACAUGCAGGUUGAGCGCUGAAGGUUGGUACUUGUACCAACUGGAUGAGCAGCGCACGGGUGAGUAACGCGUGGGGAAUCUGCCUUUGAGCGGGGGACAACAUUUGGAAACGAAUGCUAAUACCGCAUAAAAACUUUAAACACAAGUUUUAAGUUUGAAAGAUGCAAUUGCAUCACUCAAAGAUGAUCCCGCGUUGUAUUAGCUAGUUGGUGAGGUAAAGGCUCACCAAGGCGAUGAUACAUAGCCGACCUGAGAGGGUGAUCGGCCACAUUGGGACUGAGACACGGCCCAAACUCCUACGGGAGGCAGCAGUAGGGAAUCUUCGGCGAUGGACGAAAGUCUGACCGAGCAACGCCGCGUGAGUGAAGAAGGUUUUCGGAUCGUAAAACUCUGUUGGUAGAGAAGAACGUUGGUGAGAGUGGAAAGCUCAUCAAGUGACGGUAACUACCCAGAAAGGGACGGCUAACUACGUG
rnacentral:rRNA from 1 species